AUAUCUUUGGAUCCAAUGAUGUAUUAGUAUGUGGAGUUUGAGGUGUCUUACCAUAUUGCAUUUUGAUUCUUGUUUUACGAUACUACUUUUAUUAUUAGUAGUAGUAGUAUUAUUAAUUUUUCAUUAUCUUCUUUUAUAUUCAAAUAUAUUUUAAUAUUUUGGGUAGAACCUUAUGCCAUUUGCAAUCAUGGGUGGCAUGUAACAAGUUUCAGGACUUCUCAACUGAUGUGAUAUGGUGAUUUGCAUCUGGAGAAUGUAUACUAUUCAGAAAUGAAAGAUGCUGGUUUCUUUGAUGCUGAUUGGGAGUGAUGCAGUGAUAUUCUGGCUGGAUGACUCUGUAUAUUAAAGUAACUUCCAGAUGACAAAAAUUUAUGUACUUGAAGAGAUGCUUGUUCGUUGCUUGCUGGACUCGUUCUUUUACAAUAGAUGUAGUGUGCCUCUGGCACUUGGAACGCUUUGUUGUGUACCAAUUAGGAACUGGUUAGACCGCAUUAAAAAAUAUAACUAUGUAUAAUACAAAAUAAGGGAAGCAUAAAGGUAUAUUUUAUGAUAUGAAUUUGAUACUAUUUGGAUCCAUUAUGUAUUUUGAGAUAUUUUAAGUUUCUUAGUGUUGAACUAUAAUAAUGUUUUGAACUAUUAGAUUGCAGAAUUAUGAAAUGAAGUUGAUGUGUAUAUAUUGUCUUUGA